UUGCUUCAGCAGUGCAUGUACUUAAACUGGAACAAUACAGAGAAGUUUGUCAUGGCUCCUGUGCAAGGAUGGCAUGCAGAUUAUUGAAGUGUUCCACAUUUUU
rnacentral:snRNA from 1 species